rnacentral:rRNA from 1 species
GAUGAACGCUGGCGGCGUGCCUAAUACAUGCAAGUCGAGCGAAUGGAUUAAGAGCUUGCUCUUAUGAAGUUAGCGGCGGACGGGUGAGUAACACGUGGGUAACCUGCCCAUAAGACUGGGAUAACUCCGGGAAACCGGGGCUACUACCGGAUAACAUUUUGAACCGCAUGGUUCGAAAUUGAAAGGCGGCUUCGGCUGUCACUUAUGGAUGGACCCGCGUCGCAUUAGCUAGUUGGUGAGGUAACGGCUCACCAAGGCAACGAUGCGUAGCCGACCUGAGAGGGUGAGCGGCCACACUGGGACUGAGACACGGCCCAGACUCCUACGGGAGGAAGCAGUAGGGAAUCUUCCGCAAUGGACGAAAGUCUGACGGAGCAACGCCGCGUGAGUGAUGAAGGCUUUCGGGUCGUAAAACUCUGUUGUUAGGGAAGAACAAGUGCUAGUUGAAUAAGCUGGCACCUUGACGGUACCUAACCAGAAAGCCACGGCUAACUACGUGCCAGCCGCCGCAGUAA